CCUACGGGGGGCUGCAGUGGGGGAUAUUGCACAAUGGAGGAAACUCUGAUGCAGCAACGCCGCGUGAGGGAAGAAGGUCUUCGGAUUGUAAACCUCUGUCCUCAGGGACGAUAAUGACGGUACCUGAGGAGGAAGCUCCGGCUAACUACGUGCCAGCAGCCGCGGUAAUACGUAGGGAGCAAGCGUUGUCCGGAUUUACUGGGUGUAAAGGGUGCGUAGGCGGCCCUGCAAGUCAGGGGUGAAAACUAUGGGCUUAACUCAUAGAUUGCACUUGAAAAUGUGGGGCUUGAGUGAAGUAGAGGCAGGCGGAAGUACAGGUGUAGCGGUGGAAUGCGUAGAGAUCGGGAAGAACACCAGUGGCGAAGGCGGCCUGCUGGUCUGUAACUGACGCCGAGGAGCGAAAGCGUGGGGAGCAAGCAGGAUUAGAUACCCUGGUAGUC
rnacentral:rRNA from 1 species